GCAGGUGUAAUACAACGGUUAGUAUGUCUGCUUCCCAAGCAGAAUAUGGGGGUUCGAUUCCCCUCGCUUGCU
rnacentral:tRNA from 1 species